rnacentral:rRNA from 1 species
CUCCUUGCAUACACCGCCCGUCGCUUCACCGAAGCUGGUUCUUGGCGAGGUGGCGCCUAAUUGGCGCUAUCGAACCUGGGGUCAGCAACGGGGAG